GCGCCAGUAGCUCAGUUGGAUAGAGCAUCGGCCUUCUAAGCCGACGGUCGGGGGUUCGAAUCCUCCCUGGCGCGCCA
rnacentral:tRNA from 1 species